UAAAAUAUGAGCUUCUUGACCUA
rnacentral:siRNA from 1 species